GUCCCGCUGGUGCACGACGCACAUCCGCCUUUCAUUUGUAGGCUACGCAUUCUGUGAAGCGGAAGGACCCCGUUCGACUCGGGGGCGGGACU